CUGAGCCUUCACCUUUGCAAGCUUGUUGAUUUCCUCUGGAUGAUCAACACAGUACUGCAUCUGCUCCUUUAUUUUGGGCCCAAACUCCUUGUUCAAGCUGUUAGCAACAGCUGUAGCAGCUUUGCCUCCACCAUAUUUCUUGGUAAAAUCAUCCUUAACUCUCUCCAGAAAUGCGAUUGGGACCUGUCUGCCAACAGACUCCACAGCUACAACACAGUAUGUGAAGCCGUCAUCGACGAGGUAGUUAAAAGUAUGUCCAUCACAGUUAUAGGUGAACUUGUUGUUGGAAGCAGGGAGUUUCUGAAGGCACUGCGAUGCAAUACUGGUAAAAUUUCCAGUGAACUCAGUAUACUCAGCGAGAAUCACCGUUCCUCGCGCAACGAAGCUGUAGAUCAACGAUUGUUGCCCCAUUUUUCCUCUCUCUUCUCACACACUCGAGAAGAGACAAAAACCCUAGCUAUUUUGAAUUGCAGAGAGCAAA
rnacentral:misc_RNA from 1 species